CAAGUCGAACGCGAAAGCCUCCUUCGGGGGGCAAGUAGAGUGGCGCACGGGUGAGUAACACGUAGGUAAUCUACCUUUGGAUUGGGAAUAACAACCGGAAACGGUUGCUAAUACCGAAUAAUGCAGCGGCACCUAAUGGUGACAGUUGUUAAAGCGGGGGAUCGAAAGACCUCGCGUCUGAAGAGGAGCCUGCGGCAGAUUAGCUAGUUGGUAAGGUAACGGCUUACCAAGGCGAUGAUCUGUAGCCGGCCUGAGAGGGCGGUCGGCCACACUGACACUGACAUACGGGUCAGACUCCUACGGGAGGCAGCAGUCGGGAAUUUUGGGCAAUGGGCGAAAGCCUGACCCAGCAACGCCGCGUGAAGGAUGAAAUCCUUCGGGAUGUAAACUUCGCAAGAACGGGAAGAAUAAGUAAGAGUUAAUAUCUCUUACGAUGACGGUACUGUUUGUAAGCUCCGGCUAACUCCGUGCCAGCAGCCGCGGUAAUACGGGGGGAGCAAGCGUUGUUCGGAUUUACUGGGCGUAAAGGGCGCGUAGGCGGCCACCGCAAGUCGACUGUGAAAUCUCCGGGCUUAACCCGGAAAGGUCAGCCGAUACUGCGGGGCUAGAGUGCAGAAGGGGCAACUGGAAUUCUCGGUGUAGCGGUGAAAUGCGUAGAUAUCGAGAGGAACACCUGCGGCGAAGGCGGGUUGCUGGGCUGACACUGACGCUGAGGCGCGAAAGCUAGGGGAGCGAACGGGAUUAGAUACCCCGGUAGUCCUAGCCUUAAACGAUGAAUGCUUGGUGUCUGGGGUUUUAUAGUCCCCGGGU
rnacentral:rRNA from 1 species